UCUGGGGGAUGACAUGGAGCCCACUCAGCCUUGCCCAGCGCUGGGACUGAGAGUUUGAGAAGUCAUCCUGACUGGAAGACCUUCCCCAAGUCUAGGCAAGUGACUUAUGCCUGGCUGGGGAACCUCGGAGGUGAGGCAGGAGCAGCCCUGAACGCGGGCCCUGCCCCUCCUUCCUCCCACUCUCCAGAGGAAGUGUGCUAUUAUACUUCCACAUCUGCCAUGGACAUGGAAGGGAGGCAGGACGCCCAGCACGCCCGACGAAACAGACCUCUGCCCGCUGCUGUUAACUCAAAUGAAAGUGAGAGUCUGAGCAUUCUAACCUUUGAGGAAAGUAACAACGGAGGACAAACUCUCCAAAGCUGUGUGAAAACAAGCACUGUCCUGAACAAAAUUCCACUUCUUGGAAGUGAACCUAAAGAAGAAAUUACCCAGACUAUGCACCGUGAUGAAAAACUGCAAAGGACCCGAAUCUCCAGCAGGUCAAGUUACAUCAAAUCUACCACAUCUUGCAGGUGGACACAAUGCCGCGCAGUCAAGAAAAGUGAUGUUUCAGAAGACUUUGAAUGACCCAGAGGCAGCCUCUGUCCUUGUGCCCUAGGAGGUUGUGUGGGGAUGUUUCUCUUGUUUGGAUCAGGACCCAAUGUCCAGGAUGCCACUGUGGCUGCUACCAGAGAAUCUGGCAAGGUCUAUGGCCCCAUUGUCUCCUGCCCACCCUCCCGAGAGACAUACCCAGGAAGUCGCAGAGCAGGGGGUCCAGCACCCUCAGGAGCAGCAGCAGUCGCCCGAGUUGCCGCUUCAUGGUCUCCUGGCUCUCUUCAAAGUUCCCUUGCUGUGGGACGGAAGGAGGGGGGAAAGAGCAGACCCCGUGAGGUACCAGGACACCUGAUCGCUCGAUAGGCCUGUGUCCCACCCCUGACCCAAGCCUCACCACGAGCUCCAUGAAGCCACAGAAACACCAGAAAGCAUCCACCUCGUUCUGAAUGACGUAGAGGAUCGGGGAGAGAAGAUCACUCAUGCCCUGGACGUAGCCUGGGGGGACAUGGGGUCAGGCUGCAGCCAAGCCCGCAGCGCUCCCCUGGACAGCCCCGGCCACGCCCGUCCCCAGGCCUGGCACCCACCGAGGUCGAAGUGAUACAUGCAGUAGGUGAGGAGGAUAUCGUUCAGCAGGCCCAGCCCCGGGUUCUCGGGACCCUCGUAGAACUUGUUGGUCCUGUCAGUGCGGCUCACAUCCCUUUCUGCGGGGACCGGGCACAGGGUGCAAAGGUGAGAAAGGUAGGGGGGCCCAUCCCUGCUGGCCACCAGUGCCAGCCCCCACUGCUCCUCCUGCUGGCAGCCCCCAGCCUCGGGGUUUGCUCUGGGGGAGAAGCAGAGCUGGUUCUAGAAACUAUCACUGAUGCUCCUGCUGUGAGGCGCCAGGCCUCCCACUCACCAGCUGGCUAUAUCCUCCCACAGUAGGGGAAACUGAGGCCCAGGGAGGCAAAAUCACUUGCCAAGAUCACCAGGCAUUGACAGAACUGAGACUGGGCCUGAAGGGAGCUGGGCUCCCCUUCUUUCCCAUCCUGUCCCUGGCCUUGCUCCCCCAGGGCCAUUCCCCAACAGCCCAUGCAGCUUUCCCCCAAGAUGCCCUCUCACUGGUCUUGGGGAGGCAGGGGGCUCCCUCUAUCUCCCACUCGCACUUAUGCCUGAGGCCCUCCUGUGGUUCCCUGCUCCCAUCCACCCUAAGUGCCACCCCUGACACUGACCGAUGAGGCUGCGGUAUCCAUGCAGAAGUGAGUUUCUCCGCUCCUGCUCAGGGCUCACAGAUUUCCACUGCAGCUUCAUGCGGAAAUACUCAUCCCUGAGUGACAGAGGGAAACAAGAUGUGAGGCCGCCACUGUCUGCAACACCCAGAGACCUCCAAGCCUGGCGCCACCUCCCAGGUCAGCCCUGCAGAGCCCCUCCCUGACCACACAGACCCAAGCAGGUCACCUCGUCAUUCUUGCCACUAUCCCUUACACUUCACCUUCCUGGCAUCUCUCACUACAUAGCCUUGUGGCCUUUUGAUGAAAAUUUGUCACCCCCCACUGGACAGGGCACCAGGGACAGGGAAUCGUCCAGCACUGCUGCAUCCUCAGUGCCUGGCAGGUAUAUAACCUACACCAGGAAUGAGGAGAGACGGGCCCUCCUAGGUUAUAAAACAUGCUGCAAAACUGUGAUCAUUAAAACAGUAUGGCACAGGAAUGAAAA